UCGCCUCCAGUGCCCCCCCAGCAAGGUUCGCGGAAUUCGCGUGGACUGCGCUAGUAACCAUAGUUACUUGGAAUCAAGAUCGUGUAGUUCGUGAACGGCACCGCCAUUUUGAAGUGCCGGCUUUGCAUUGGUUUUUCCCAUCUUCGCUGGUGAAUCCGACAAUCUAGAGGAAGACAUCAAAGGAAGGCUUUUGAAUGCUUUGGAAACAAUUUCUCCAAGAAGCAGAUGAAUUUACUGACAAACGUAAUCCCCCAAAGCAGUUGUUAGAACUGUCAAAGGCGAUCUAACCCUGGAUUUACAGAGAUGCAAUCGACCUCAGAAAACGAGAAAAAGAAAUAAAUAUCAUCAAAAGUAUACAAAGUUCGCCUGUGUUACUUCUGAGAUUGCUC